UUUUUUUUUGUGCAGCCAUAUGGUUGGUUUCAAGGGUGUGAUUUAUUUUAUUUUAAUAUGUAUGAAUAAAAAGUUGGAGAGGGUUACGAAAUAUGAUGUUAAACUAUUUUCUUUUCUCAUAACUUACUAGUAUUAUGUAAAAUCAUGAGACUGGUCUCUUCUUAUUCUUUGCUACAGUGCACACUGAAGCAUAUUAUGCCCAACAUUGGUUGACUUAUUUGAUUCUCCUGUAGGUCUCUGAAAAAUGUGGAGGGUUGGGGGAUCAUCCACUGAAAUUUUUUUUUACAUCCGAGCAAAUGGUUUUAUAUACUGUAGAGCCUCAAGAAUCAUUGGUGCUGGAAGAUUACUUAGAGUCCAUAGAUCUAUAAUUUUCAAAUACAUGUUGAACUUUGAAUUCACAGUAACUUCUAAAUGACCAUCAGAUGCAUUGCCUAAUGACCCCAAACAUCUAUAAAAUAUCAACAAAAUACCCUGUCUGUAUCUCUGAAUUAAAUGGUGUAUUGAUUUAUUUUUCUGUGAUAGGUUUUCACCAUUUUAGGUUAGAUUCAUUAAAAUAAAAAUCUAAUUCCUCACAGAUCAUUUGUUUGAUUGGUUUGCAUUUUUGCAGUUUUGAUUCAUCAAAUAAUUUAGCAGUAACCAGUUCCAAUUUCAUUUCAGUUAAUUUAUUUUACUCAACAACAAAAAAAAAUCUCCAAAUUCCACUAAUAGGGCAGGCUGUAAGUUCAACAUCUUCAGAGGUUCUGUGAUGGUUUCAUUGAGGAAAGUUUGAUAUACUGAAUUUUGGUGACAAAUGUAUUUUUUUCUGCUAAAUUUCUCAGUGCCCUAUUGCCCUUGGACACAGAUAGUUGCAGCUUUUGACUGCAUUAAUGUCUGUUUUUUUCCUGUUUAUGUAUUAUUACUG